GUGGCAGUUUUUCCUUUCUCUGAUUACAAACCAGCAUUCUGGAACCAUCCGGUUGAAGUCACAGAGCCCUGAGUGGUGGGGUGAUGUGGAGGUUACCUCCCGCCGCUGCGCACCUUACAAGGCGGGGUCUGUUUUCUGUUCACUAGCCCAGUGCCUCAGACUCACAUCCAUGGAGGGCUCGCUCAAAUCGACUCCCGGGUCCCACCUCCAGUUGCUUGUUCAGAUCUGAGGUAUCUGAGAGCAGGGCUUGUCCAGCGAGGAGAUUAGAAAAGGAUACGAGCUCAUUCCCAUACGGUAAAGCCAGAGAAAGCCUUGCUGUGAAGAGAACAAACAGAACCUGUUUGGUGGCUUGUCAUUUCAAUGACAACACGAACCUUUCACAGCGUACUUCACAACAAGGGAGACUAAGAGACCCCACAGAUGAAGAAGCUUCUACCAGAGGAGCAGAACCAGCCUUGCUGAGAAGUCCCGACAGGCCCAACACCACAGGAGCAGGAAUUUGAGACACGUGUGCUCAUUUCCUGUUUAUUCUCUCAUACCUCCUGCGCUUAUCUCUCAUUAUUUACUAGUUACGUCCUUCUCUGGAGAGGUCUAGUAUAUCAGUUGAGCAGAGAGAAGGAGGUCAGGGCCACAACUGAUCUACAGUCUUAGUAAAUCUCCAUCU